rnacentral:tRNA from 1 species
AAAGAAAUAUUUUAAAAAAAGCUUCUAACUUUUUAUUAGCAUUAACAUGUUAU